rnacentral:pre_miRNA from 1 species
GGAAACUAGACAGGAAAGUGAACACCUAGUUAUGUACACAUACCUAACUUGAAUUGAGUGUUCACUUUCCUGUCUAGUUUCA